GUGUACGGUCAUACCACCCUGAACACGCCCGAGCUCGUCUGAUCUGGGAAGCUAAGCAGGGUCGAGCCUGGUUAGUACUUGGAUGGGAAACAGGUAGUCUAGGUGUUGAGCCAG
ensembl:rRNA 5S_rRNA 5S ribosomal RNA